UGAACCUCACCAGGGGAAUUGUGGGAAAGAAAGAUUAAGACAUUUGGGUGUUUUGGAGGAGAGCUAAACGGCUCUGAUCAUCCCGAGGUCAAUGGAAGGAAUCCUCCCAGCUUGACGGACGGAUUCUGAACGCCUCACCUCCUCCCCACGGAAAGCCGGCAAAAACGUUUCUGUGGGGGAAAUACAGUAUUCAUCUGGGAACUCCAGCUCAACUGAGGACUGCACAAGCAACGCCGGCGUCACUGGAUCCAUUCCCAGGGAACACAAUUUGUCAAUUUGUGAAUAUGAAAGCAUCUGCAAAAGCUUCCCCUGCAGAGCAGAGCGACUGACGGACUGAUUAAACACACAGAAGGCAUGAACUAAAGAAGAGGGAGAGAGAGAGAGACGGGGCCUAGAAGAGCAACGGGAGCAGACAGGAGAAGAUAAUGGAGAAGAGAAGAAGAUUACGCUGACGGUAAGAAAGAAAUGGACGGACGAGCCGAGGCCCUGAAAUCAAGGUUGAGUAGAGAGAUGCAUGGAGAUGGGAAUGGAGAGGGUUUCGAGGGAAAGGAAAUGAGAGCGAUACGGGGAAGGAGAUAGAAGCAGACGGAGAGAAUAAAACCUUGAUGGUGACGGCGACCGUGUGGAGUCAUGAAAAGACGAAUUACAGAACAAGAAAUGAGAGAAAACUAUUAUAGUAGGGAUGGGUGAUAUGAGGUAAUCUCAAUCUCUUUGUAUCGUGGUAUAUAGUAUUAUAUCAUGGUAUACUUAAGGAAAAAAAUUGUUAAAUAUUAAAUAACGCUGUGGUAGUAGAUACUGUGCCAUUCUGUGAAUUAACCAGUUACCGCAAUAUCAAUGGUACCGAACAACUUUGGCGGUGAAAAAGUACCGUCUCAACUUAAAGCCAUACAUCUGAGAUGUAAAGGCACUGCAUGGAGCUGUCAUUGAAGAAAAUGAGGUCUUAUGCCUCAAGAAACAUUGUAAAGAGUUGCAUUUGUUCUAGACUUACUGCUCACGUGGCUCAUAUGUGAGUUCAGUUCUGGCUCCCAUUCAACUCCUUACAUCCUAUCGUCUGUCCCGUUUCAAUGUCAAUAAAAUGCCAUAACCCCAAAGAAAGGUGAAGUGAAAAUGAAAAAUAAAAGAGUGGCAUUUUGGGUGAAGGAACGUGAUAAAUGAAUGAAGGGGUGAACGACAGAAGAAGAAGAUUAGGAGAUACAGGGAAACGUGACAGUUUUGAUUCACUUCUCUUCUGUAAAAGCUUUUUAAAUAGUAUUAAUGAGAGCACGUUGCGGUCUGAGGGAUGGCCGCUUUCUGAGAGUGAGUUGAUGUACUUGAGUAAAUAAGAGAAACGUUACUUGGCGCAGCACUCGACAAGAAACAUAUCACGACUGUCACCUUGGCAACAAUAUCUGCAAAUCGAUGUUGAUGUGCUUGUUUUGAUGGGCACGCGUCGUGCUAAGCCCCGCCCACUAGCGUGAUCUGUCACCGCUGUCAAAAAAGUAUAAAUUGUCAAAUGAAUAGAUUUUAUUUGUAUAGAUUUACUUAUUUAUUCAUACUCAUACAUAAUAUGCUUUUUAACACAAGUAUAUUCUUGUUUGCAGGUGGAACCACAGCAUUAUUCGGUUUCUUAAUCAAUAAAAAUACCGAUAUUUGCGAGACAGCAUAGGCUAUAUGGGUAAUAUUUCUCAUUUACAUCUGCUCACAUUUAUGAGAAAUCAUGUUUAUCUGACAUAUAAAAGUCGAAUAUCCUAUCAUAGGCUAUUUUUCACCCGAAAGAGGGAGAGAGAGAGAGAGAGAGAGAGAGGGUAUAUUUAUAUGUAUUUGACUUCCAAAUAUCUAGUUUGCGUGAGUAUAUCUCGAGCUCUGUCGGAAUUAACCCAAUACCGUUUCAGUAUUAAAUAUUUCUCGCCUUACAACUCGAAAUGAAUAUUUGAGCUCUCUGGCAUGUUGCCUUCCAGUAGAGAAGAGCGUGUGGAACUCAGUAGCGAAGUCAAACCAGCAAGAUACUUUUUAUCCUUGAAGGCAUAUGUUCUAGCUUUCCGCAGACACGUAUAAUGACGUCAGACCUGCGUCAGAUGAAGCCUGUAGGGUUAUUUAUCGUGUCCGAGGGAUGAGCUGGUUCGGUGACGUAUGUUAGAUACAUUGAAAAUAAAUCUCGUUUCAAAUGCGCGCGCACAAGACCCUGAAGCUUCUGAGGAUGCAACAGCUGAGCUGACCCGUGAGACGUCUUAUUAUUGCACUGCCCCCUGCUGGCGAGUAUGGUGAACUGCAUACGCACUUUUAUUACAGAACUUCCAGCGUCAAUAAAGAUUUUUUCCCCCGUUUUAUCAUCAGCCAUGUGAAAGUCUUAUAUUUUUUAUUGUCAAUAACGACAACCAAAGUUAAACUGUGAAAUGUUAAGGAUUAACGAUAACGUUUGUGUUUAACAAGAGGACAUUUUUGAUGUCCAUAACACAGAAUGAGUUACGUUUUGAAUAUUAAUGCUUCAGGGUUUGAUAAAAAUCCCUGUGAUCAAAAAUAAAAGUAACGCUUUCCUAUGAAAGCGUCCCUAAUAUAGUGGGCUAGAUUAAAAGAGAUAAAAAGAGAGCCAUUUUACAAGACAGCAAUUGGAGAAGCUCUUAGUUCUUGCAUUUUCGUUCUUCUUUUUUCUUUUUUGACGUGGCUGUCAGCUUUAAGACAAAUGCUGUGUGUGUGUGGAUGUUCUGUCGUUCAAACUCUCCAUCUUGCACGCCAGCACCUGGGGAAACUUCCCAGCAUGCAUCAGUCUACAGCUUACACAAGUGUUACCUCGUGCUCUUCCUGUCCAUCAACAAUCGAGCUAAAUUCGGGGAAGAAAUCAACUGUCAAACGAAAUUUGACUGAAAAUGUAAAGAAUUCAAAGCACUCACAUCUACAGCUUGGUUCACACCGGCGCUCGGCUGCAAUAAUGAGAAUUCAUCCCCUGACAGAAACAGUCUCAUGUUACUUCCAGGAGUAAAUAGGACCAAAGAUAAAAAGAAGUGUUAUAGAACUUUGGAACACCUUUACUGGAAACAAUUUUACAGAUAGAGUGCGUCGUUAUGGCGACCGGCCAUGCCGACAGGGGAGAUAAUAGGGUAAUUGACCCGCAAGUAGCAGGUUCUUAAUCCACCCCCAAAUUUCACACACUCCCUUCCCACCGGAGUCACAGGGGGUCAUUCCCUAUCGCGAAACACUGCCGUGCUUCUGUAAUGUACAGAGACCCGGAGAUCAAUGAGGCUGUGACUCACACUGCAGAAGGAAAAAACUACCGAGAGCUAUACGAACCACAGAACCUUAUUGCAAAUUCCAGUUUAAACAAGGUAAUUUCUUGUACAGGGUUCAUGGUUCUAGCUUUUUGAUGUUAACGUUGGUGGACUAACAACAAACCUUGUGUCCCACAGAAAAUGAAAGUCAAACAGGUUUGUUAUGACAGGACGAGUUAAUGAUCGCUAUGGAUGGAGAUGGAUCUUUAAGCUUACAUGGACUGCAGAAAACCCCCCACACAACCGAAACCCCAGGAGAAAAGAUGCGAGUGAUAUGGCACGCAGAAGGGUUCACGUUGCUGUGAUCCUCUGAAUUUCACUACGCUACUGAUCUCGUUGCGGUGAUAAUGGAGACAGGGGUACAAAGGGACUUUGUGCUCGCGAUGCAUAUGACAAAAUACAAGGAGGAUGGGAAGAUGACGCAGAGGGCGUGAUUACACGUUGUGUGUCAGCCCCAUAUCUAGGCCUACUGAAACGUACAUUAUCUGUCCUUGAACUGUUACAGUGAAUAUUUCAUCCAAAAAGUAUUUCAUCCAAAAAAUGUCUAAAACUGACUGAUGUUUGAUUUCUGUGAGCUGUUCUGUAAAGGAAUAUGUCAUUUAAUUACAUUUACAUACAUUCAUGUUUAUGCAUUUGGCAGACGCUUUUAUCCAAAGCGACUUACAUUACAUUGUACAAUACGUUUUUCUUUUUUAAGUGUGUGCAAUCCCUGGGAUUGAACCCAUGACCUUGGUGAUGCUAACGCCAUUAGCAUUUUCUUUAUUAAAAACAUUUUUGAAAAUCAC